GGACGAACGCUGGCGGCGUGCUUAACCCAUGCAAGUCGAACGGAAAGGCCCUGCUUUUGUGGGGUGCUCGAGUGGCGAACGGGUGAGUAACACGUAAGUAACCUGCCCUUGACUUUGGGAUAACUUCAGGAAACUGGGGCUAAUACCGGAUAGGAGCUCCUGCUGCAUGGUGGGGGUUGGAAAGUUUCGGCGGUUGGGGAUGGACUCGCGGCUUAUCAGUUUGUUGGUGGGGUAGUGGCUUACCAAGGCUUUGACGGGUAGCCGGCCUGAGAGGGUGACCGGCCACAUUGGGACUGAGAUACGGCCCAGACUCCUACGGGAGGCAGCAGUGGGGAAUAUUGCACAAUGGGCGGAAGCCUGAUGCAGCAACGCCGCGUGCGGGAUGACGGCCUUCGGGUUGUAAACCGCUUUCGCCUGUGACGAAGCGUGAGUGACGGUAAUGGGUAAAGAAGCACCGGCUAACUACGUG
rnacentral:rRNA from 1 species